CACAAGUGAUGCAGCUCAUUGAUGGAAAUGAUAAGGACGAUGCUCACGGCCAUCUCCAUGAGUGCAAUUGCAACGAAUGGUGUUGUGCCUGCUGGUGGCU
rnacentral:sRNA from 1 species